CCCUUAGACGUUCUGGGCCGCACGCGCGCUACACUGACCAGUGCAACAAGCAUCCGUCCUUGGCCGACAGGCUCGGGCAAUCUUUGAACGCUGGUCGUGAUGGGGAUAGACUUUUGCAAUUUUUGGUCUUCAACGAGGAAUUCCUAGUAAACGCAAGUCAUCAACUUGCAUUGAUUACGUCCCUGCCCUUUGUACACACCGCCCGUCGCACCUACCGAUUGAAUGGUCCGGUGAAGCCUCCGGAUUGGCGCGCACCUCGGUGCCGCCGAGAAGUUGGCUAAACCUUUCCAUUUAGAGGAAGGUGAAGUCGUAACA
rnacentral:rRNA from 1 species